ACUCCUACGGGAGGCAGCAGUAGGGAAUCUUCCACAAUGGGCGCAAGCCUGAUGGAGCAACACCGCGUGAGUGAAGAAGGGUUUCGGCUCGUAAAGCUCUGUUGUUAAAGAAGAACACGUAUGAGAGUAACUGUUCAUACGUUGACGGUAUUUAACCAGAAAGUCACGGCUAACUACGUGCCAGCAGCCGCGGUAAUACGUAGGUGGCAAGCGUUAUCCGGAUUUAUUGGGCGUAAAGAGAGUGCAGGCGGUUUUCUAAGUCUGAUGUGAAAGCCUUCGGCUUAACCGGAGAAGUGCAUCGGAAACUGGAUAACUUGAGUGCAGAAGAGGGUAGUGGAACUCCAUGUGUAGCGGUGGAAUGCGUAGAUAUAUGGAAGAACACCAGUGGCGAAGGCGGCUACCUGGUCUGCAACUGACGCUGAGACUCGAAAGCAUGGGUAGCGCACAGGAUUAGAUACCCUGGUAGGAUAGCG
rnacentral:rRNA from 1 species